UUUUUUAAAUUUUAUUUACCCCCCCCUACACACACACACAAUAACAUUUAUACAGCACUCUCACACCCAUCACACACAGCACUGUCACACCCAUCACACACAGCACUCUCACACCCUGCACUCUCACACCCAUCACACACAGCACUCUCACACCCAUCACACACAGCACUCUCUCACACAGCACUCUCACACCCAUCACACUCACAGCACUCUCACACACACACAGCACUCUCUCACACGGCACUCUCACACCCAGCACUCUCUCACACAGCACUCUCACACCAUCACACUCACAGCACUCUCACAGAGCACUCUCACACACACACAGCACUCUCUCACAGCACUCUCACACCCAUCACACUCACAGCACUCUCACA